rnacentral:rRNA from 1 species
ACGUUAUGCAGCGAGGUUAAGGGCUGAAGGUCCGGAGCCGAAGCGAAAGCGAGUCUGAAUAGAGCGGCAAGUUGCAUGACGUAGACCCGAAACCGGGUGACCUAUCCAUGGGCAGGUUGAAGUGGAAGUAAAAUUUCAUGGAGGACCGAACCAGACGUCUGUUGAAAAAGGCGGGGAUGACCUGUGGAUAGCGGAGAAAUUCCAAUCGAACCCGGAGAUAGCUGGUUCUCCUCGAAAUAGCUUUAGGGCUAGCCUCGCAUUAGUUUACCGGAGGUAGAGCACUGAAUGGUCUAGGGGGCCUCACCGCCUACCGAAACCUAUCAAACUGCGAAUGCCGGAUAAAUGAUGUGCGGGAGUCAGGCCGCGAGAGAUAAGUUCCGCGGUCAAAAGGGGAACACCCCAGAUCGUCUGCUAAGGUCCCCAAGUACGCGUUAAGUGGGAAAGGAUGUUGGAUUGCACAGACAACCAGGAUGUUGGCUUAGAAGCAGCCACACAUUCAAAGAGUGCGUAAUAGCUCACUGGUCGAGUGAUCCAGCGCCGAAAAUGUAACGGGGCUAAAACGCGACACCGAAGCAGCGGGAUGCGUAAGCAUCGGUAGAGGAGCAUUGUGUGAGGGUUGAAGCCAGAGCGGGAGCACUGGUGGACUUCACAGAAGAGAGAAUGCCGGUAUGAGUAGCGAGACCCAUGCGAGAAACAUGGGCGUCGAAGGCCCAAGGUUUCCUGGGGAAGGUUCAUCCACCCAGGGUAAGUCGGGACCUAAGCCGAGGACUGAGGUCGUAGGCGAUGGACAGCAGGUAGAGAUUCCUGCACCACUUACACUUGUUUGACGAAGCAGUGACACAGAAGGAUAGGACGAGCGCGGUGAUGGUCAACCGCGUAGGCGGCACGAGGCCGGGAAGCAGUGAAGUACACUUCCCGCGAAGGCUGAGUGUUGACAGGACCGAAAAGAAGUAGGGAAGCGUCCGAGUUCACGCUGGCGAGAAAAGCUGCUAAGGAGAGUGUGAGUGCCCGUACCGGAAACCGACGCAGGUGGGCGAGGAGAGAAUCCUGAGACGGACGGGAGAACUCUUGUUAAGGAACUCGGCAAAAUGACCCCGUAACUUCGGGAGAAGGGGUGCCUCGAAAGAGGCCGCAGAGAAUAGUCACAAGCGACUGUUUAGCAAAAACACAGGUAUCUGCGAAAGCGAGAGCUGACGUAUAGGUGCUGACGCCUGCCCGGUGCUGGAAGGUUAAGGGGAAGUGUUAGGGGAAACCCGAAGCAGAGAACCGAAGCCCCAGUAAACGGCGGCCGUAACUAUAACGGUCCUAAGGUAGCGAAAUUCCUUGUCGGGUAAGUUCCG